GACGAACGCUGGCGGCAUGCCUAACACAUGCAAGUCGAACGGAACUUGUUGAAUGAAGUUUUCGGAUGGAUUUUAGCAAGUUUAGUGGCGGACGGGUGAGUAACGCGUGAGCAACCUGCCUUUCAGAGGGGGACAACAGUUGGAAACGACUGCUAAUACCGCAUAAUGUAUCGGAACCGCAUGGCUCUGAUACCAAAGAUUUUAUCGCUGAAAGAUGGGCUCGCGUACGAUUAGAUAGUUGGUGAGGUAACGGCUCACCAAGUCGACGAUCGUUAGCCGGACUGAGAGGUUGAACGGCCACAUUGGGACUGAGACACGGCCCAGACUCCUACGGGAGGCAGCAGUGAGGAAUAUUGGGCAAUGGGCGCAAGCCUGACCCAGCAAUGCCGCGUGAAGGAUGAAGGUUUUCGGAUUGUAAACUUCUUUUAAGAGGGACGAUAAUGACGGUACCUCUUGAAUAAGCCACGGCUAACUACGUG
rnacentral:rRNA from 1 species